UGGUCCUGAGCAGCAUUUUGGAUUGCCUUCAAAAGGAGGACGUAAACCAAAACCAAAGAACAGCUGCCCUUCUUGGUCUCCUGUGCUACUUUUCAGACGAUUCCUCCAACAUAAUCAGGAAGUGUAAUGCUCAUGGUGAAACCCUCGACGUGAUAAUGAGCGGGAUGGAAGUCGGACUGCUGAUCGGACAUGAAAGCCCUCUGCAGGAUGCAUUCCCUU